rnacentral:misc_RNA from 1 species
GAUGAAGAACGUAGUCAAAUGCGAUAAGUAGUGUGAAUUGCAGAAUUCCGUGAAUCAUCGAAUCUUUGAACGCACAUUGCGCCUUCUGGUAUUCCGGAAGGCAUGCCUGUUCGAGAGUCAUUAACAACCGUUUCGAUCCCUUUCUUUCAGAAAUUACAAAGAGGAAAAGGGUUUGGUUAUGGUGGAGGAGGGAAAGGGAGCGUUUAGCCUGUAAAAAAAGAGGCUGUGUUCCGCCUCCCCCCCAAAAUUGUACAGGCGGUCGUGUGCGCCCACGCAUCGAGGUGUUGUAAAAGCUGCCACGGCACUUUUCACCUGUGCAGUGCGAGAUUGGCCAGCCGGUUUAAAAACCCCUCCAAACAAUCAAAGGUUGACCUCGGAUCAGGUAGGGAUACCCGCUGAACUUAAGCAUAUCAAUAAGCGGAGGA